UACGAAGGGAGCUAGCGUUGUUCGGAAUCACUGGGCGUAAAGCGCACGUAGGCGGAUUUGCCAGUCAGGGGUGAAAUCCCGGGGCUCAACCUCGGAACUGCCUUUGAUACAGCAAGUCUUGAGUUCGGGAGAGGUGAGUGGAACUGCGAGUGUAGAGGUGAAAUUCGUAGAUAUUCGCAAGAACACCAGUGGCGAAGGCGGCUCACUGGCCCGAUACUGACGCUGAGGCACGAAAGCGUGGGGAGCAAACAGGGAUUAGAAACCCCGU
rnacentral:rRNA from 1 species